GACGAACGCUGGCGGCGUGCUUAACACAUGCAAGUCGAACGGAAAGGCCCUGCUUGCAGGGUACUCGAGUGGCGAACGGGUGAGUAACACGUGGGUGAUCUGCCCUGCACUUCGGGAUAAGCCUGGGAAACUGGGUCUAAUACCGGAUAGGAGCCAUUUUUAGUGUGAUGGUUGGAAAGUUUUUUCGGUGUAGGAUGAGCUCGCGGCCUAUCAGCUUGUUGGUGGGGUAAUGGCCUACCAAGGCGGCGACGGGUAGCCGGCCUGAGAGGGUGGACGGCCACAUUGGGACUGAGAUACGGCCCAGACGCCUACGGGAGGCAGCAGUGGGGAAUAUUGCACAAUGGGCGCAAGCCUGAUGCAGCGACGCCGCGUGGGGGAUGACGGCCUUCGGGUUGUAAACUCCUUUCGCUAGGGACGAAGCUUUUUGUGACGGUACCUAGAUAAGAAACACCGGCUAACUACGUG
rnacentral:rRNA from 1 species